UUGACCUCAAAUCAGGUAGGACUACCCGCUGAACUUUAGCAUAUC
rnacentral:rRNA from 1 species